rnacentral:rRNA from 1 species
GACAGAGGGUGCAAACGUUGUUCGGAAUUACUGGGCGUAAAGCGUGUGUAGGUGGCUGCGUAAGUCGGAUGUGAAAGCCCUGGGCUCAACUCAGGAAGUGCACUCGAUACUGCGUAGCUCGAGUACCGGAGAGGUUGGUGGAAUUCUCGGUGUAGAGGUGAAAUUCGUAGAUAUCGGGAGGAACACCUGUGGCGAAGGCGGCCAUCUGGACGAUAACUGACGCUGAGACGCGAAAGCGUGGGUAGCAAACAGG